rnacentral:rRNA from 1 species
GAUGAACGCUGGCGGCGUGCCUAAUACAUGCAAGUCGAGCGAACAGAUGAGGAGCUUGCUCCUCUGACGUUAGCGGCGGACGGGUGAGUAACACGUGGAUAACCUACCUAUAAGACUGGGAUAACUUCGGGAAACCGGAGCUAAUACCGGAUAAUAUAUUGAACCGCAUGGUUCAAUAGUGAAAGACGGUUUUGCUGUCACUUAUAGAUGGAUCCGCGCCGCAUUAGCUAGUUGGUAAGGUAACGGCUUACCAAGGCAACGAUGCGUAGCCGACCUGAGAGGGUGAUCGGCCACACGGGAACGGAGACACGGUCCAGACUCCUACGGGAGGCAGCAGUAGGGAAUCUUCCGCAAAGGGCGAAAGCCUGACGGAGCAACGCCGCGUGAGUGAUGAAGGUCUUCGGAUCGUAAAACUCUGUUAUUAGGGAAGAACAAAUGUGUAAGUAACUAUGCACGUCUUGACGGUACCUAAUCAGAAAGCCACGGCUAACUACGUG